rnacentral:rRNA from 1 species
CCUACGGGUGGCAGCAGUGGGGAAUAUUGGGCAAUGGGCGCAAGCCUGACCCAGCAACGCCGCGUGAAGGAAGAAGGCUCUCGGGUUGUAAACUUCCUUUAUCAGGGACGAAGCAAGUGACGGUACCUGCUGAAUAAGCCACGGCUAACUACGUGCCAGCAGCCGCGGUAAGACGUAGGUGGCAAGCGUUAUCCGGAUUUACUGGGUGUAAAGGGCGUGUAGGCGGGAAAGCAAGUCAGAUGGGAAAACCAUGGGCUCAACCUGUGGCCUGCAUUUGAAACUGUUUUUCUUGAGUACUGGAGAGGCAGACGGAAUGCGUAGGGUAGCGGUGAAAUGCGUAGAUAUUAGGAGGAACACCAGUGGCGAAGGCGGGCUGCUGGACAGCAACUGACGCUGAGGCGCGAAAGCGUGGGGAGCAAACAGGAUUAGAUACCCCAGUAGUC